rnacentral:rRNA from 1 species
CAGAGGCGAUGAAGGGCGUGCUAAUCUGCGAUAAGCGCCGGUAAGGUGAUAUGAACCGUUAUAACCGGCGAUACCCGAAUGGGGAAACCCAGUGUGACUCGUCACACUAUCAUUAACUGAAUCCAUAGGUUAAUGAGGCGAACCGGGGGAACUGAAACAUCUAAGUACCCCGAGGAAAAGAAAUCAACCGAGAUUCCCCCAGUAGCGGCGAGCGAACGGGGAGGAGCCCAGAGCCUGAAUCAGCAUGUGUGUUAGUGGAAGCGUCUGGAAAGGCGCGCGAUACAGGGUGACAGCCCCGUACACAAAAGCGCAUGUGCUGUGAGCUCGAUGAGUAGGGCGGGACACGUGGUAUCCUGUCUGAAUAUGGGGGGACCAUCCUCCAAGGCUAAAUACUCCUGACUGACCGAUAGUGAACCAGUACCGUGAGGGAAAGGCGAAAAGAACCCCGGCGAGGGGAGUGAAAAAGAACCUGAAACCGUGUACGUACAAGCAGUGGGAGCCCCACCACCAAAGCAUUUGCUGUACCGCGUUGACGGAGCGAAGCGACGUCAA